CAGUCGAACGAUGAUCUCCAGCUUGCUGGGGGGAUUAGUGGCGAACGGGUGAGUAACACCUGAGUAACCUGCCCUUGACUCUGGGAUAAGCCUGGGAAACUGGGUCUAAUACUGGAUACGACCUUCCAUCGCAUGGUGGUUGGUGGAAAGCUUUUGUGGUUUUGGAUGGACUCGCGGCCUAUCAGCUUGUUGGUGGGGUAAUGGCCUACCAAGGCGACGACGGGUAGCCGGCCUGAGAGGGUGGACGGCCACACUGGGACUGAGACACGGCCCAGACUCCUACGGGAGGCAGCAGUGGGGAAUAUUGCACAAUGGGCGCAAGCCUGAUGCAGCGACGCCGCGUGAGGGAUGAAGGCCUUCGGGUUGUAAACCUCUUUCAGUAGGGAAGAAGCGAAAGUGACGGUACCUGCAGAAGAAGCGCCGGCUAACUACGUGCCAGCAGCCGCGGUAAUACGUAGGGCGCAAGCGUUAUCCGGAAUUAUUGGGCGUAAAGAGCUCGUACGCGGUUUGUCGCGUCUGCCGUGAAAGUCCGGGGCUUAACCCCGGAUCUGCGGUGGGUACGGGCAGACUUGAGUGAUGUAGGGGAGACUGG
rnacentral:rRNA from 1 species